rnacentral:rRNA from 1 species
CUACGGGAGGCUGCAGUGGGGAAUAUUGGACAAUGGGGGAAACCCUGAUCCAGCAAUGCCGCGUGUGUGAAGAAGGCCUGCGGGUUGUAAAGCACUUUCGGUUGGGAGGACUGCUUCUAGCACUAAUAUUGUUGGAAGUUGACGUUACCUUCAGAAGAAGCACCGGCUAACUCCGUGCCAGCAGCCGCGGUAAUAUCGGAGGGUGCAGGCGUUAAUCGGAAUUACUGGGCGUAAAGCGCGCGUAGGCGGCUAGAUCAGUCGGGUGUGAAAGCCCCGGGCUUAACCUGGGAACUGCAUCCGAUACUGUCUAGCUUGAGUACAGGAGAGGAGAGUGGAAUUCCACAUGUAGCGGUGAAAUGCGUAGAUAUGUGGAGGAACACCAAUGGCGAAGGCAGCUCUCUGGCCUGAUACUGACGCUGAGGUGUGAAAGCGUGGGGAGCAAACAGGAUUAGAUACCCUAGUAGUC